AAGGCAGCUGUAGACUUGUUUACGGGGCAGACCCCCCCCCAGCCC
rnacentral:tRNA from 1 species